GGAGUUUGGACCGUGUCUCAGUUCCAAUGUGGGGGACCUUCCUCUCAGAACCCCUACUGAUCGCAGGCUCGGUGGGCCGUUACCCCGCCGACAACCUAAUCAGACGCGAGUCCAUCCUUUACCACCGGAGUUUUUUCACACAUUAUCAUGCGAUAUCGUGCGCUUAUGCGGUAUUAGCACCUAUUUCUAAGUGUUAUCCCCCGGUAAAGGGCAGGUUACUCACGCGUUACUCACCCGUCCGCCACUAGAAUUACAACUUAGCAAGCUAAAAAGCAAUUCCCGUUCGACUUGCAUGUGUUAAGCACGCCGCCAGCGUUCAUCCUGAGCCAUGAUCAAAACUCU
rnacentral:rRNA from 1 species